rnacentral:rRNA from 1 species
AGCAGCCGCCGCGGGAAUACGUAGGUGGCAAGCGUUGUCCGGAAUUAUUGGGCGUAAAGGGCUCGCAGGCGGUUUCUUAAGUCUGAUGUGAAAGCCCCCGGCUCAACCGGGGAGGGUCAUUGGAAACUGGGAAACUUGAGUGCAGAAGAGGAGAGUGGAAUUCCACGUGUAGCGGUGAAAUGCGUAGAGAUGUGGAGGAACACCAGUGGCGAAGGCGACUCUCUGGUCUGUAACUGACGCUGAGGAGCGAAAGCGUGGGGAGCGAACAGGAUUAGAUACCCGCGUAGUCCCUGUCUCUUAUAC